rnacentral:rRNA from 1 species
GGACGAACGCUGGCGGCGUGCCUAAUACAUGCAAGUCGAACGAACUCUGGUAUUGAUUGGUGCUUGCAUCAUGAUUUACAUUUGAGUGAGUGGCGAACUGGUGAGUAACACGUGGGAAACCUGCCCAGAAGCGGGGGAUAACACCUGGAAACAGAUGCUAAUACCGCAUAACAACUCGGACCGCAUGGUCCGAGUUUGAAAGAUGGCUUCGGCUAUCACUUUUGGAUGGUCCCGCGGCGUAUUAGCUAGAUGGUGGGGUAACGGCUCACCAUGGCAAUGAUACGUAGCCGACCUGAGAGGGUAAUCGGCCACAUUGGGACUGAGACACGGCCCAAACUCCUACGGGAGGCAGCAGUAGGGAAUCUUCCACAAUGGACGAAAGUCUGAUGGAGCAACGCCGCGUGAGUGAAGAAGGGUUUCGGCUCGUAAAACUCUGUUGUUAAAGAAGAACAUAUCUGAGAGUAACUGUUCAGGUAUUGACGGUAUUUAACCAGAAAGCCACGGCUAACUACGUGCCAGCAGCCGCGGUAAUACGUAGGUGGCAAGCGUUGUCCGGAUUUAUUGGGCGUAAAGCGAGCGCAGGCGGUUUUUUAAGUCUGAUGUGAAAGCCUUCGGCUCAACCGAAGAAGUGCAUCGGAAACUGGGAAACUUGAGUGCAGAGAGGACAGUGGGACUCCAUGUGUAGCAGUGAAAUGCGUAGAUAUAUGGAAGAACACCCAGUGGCGAAGGCGGCUGUCUGGUCUGUAACUGACGCUGAGGCUCGAAAGUAUGGGUAGCAAACAGGAUUAGAUACCCUGGUAGUCCAUACCGUAAACGAUGAAUGCUAAGUGUUGGAGGGUUUCCGCCCUUCAGUGCUGCAGCUAACGCAUUAAGCAUUCCGCCUGGGGAGUACGGCCGCAAGGCUGAAACUCAAAGGAAUUGACGGGGGCCCGCACAAGCGGUGGAGCAUGUGGUUUAAUUCGAAGCUACGCGAAGAACCUUACCAGGUCUUGACAUACUAUGCAAAUCUAAGAGAUUAGACGUUCCCUUCGGGGACAUGGAUACAGGUGGUGCAUGGUUGUCGUCAGCUCGUGUCGUGAGAUGUUGGGUUAAGUCCCGCAACGAGCGCAACCCUUAUUACUAGUUGCCAGCAUUUAGUUGGGCACUCUAGUAAGACUGCCGGUGACAAACCGGAGGAAGGUGGGGAUGACGUCAAAUCAGCAUGCCCCUUAUGACCUGGGCUACACACGUGCUACAAUGGUCGGUACAACGAGUUGCGAACCCGCGAGGGUAAGCUAAUCUCUUAAAGCCGAUCUCAGUUCGGAUUGUAGGCUGCAACUCGCCUACAUGUCGCCGGAAUCGCUAGUAAUCGCGGAUCAGCACGCCGCGGUGAAUACGUUCCCGGGCCUUG